GACGAACGCUGGCGGCGUGCCUAAUACAUGCAAGUAGGACGCAGUUUCGAACGGGUGAGUAACGCGUAGGUAACUAUCUAUUACAGGGGGAUAACUCUUUUAAACGAUAGCUAAUACCCCAUACUAGCAGAUGGACCUGCGUUGUAUUGGCUAGUAGGUUGGGUAAUGGCCUCCCUAGGCAACGAUACAUAGCCGACCUGGGAGGGUGGUCGGCCACCCUGGGGCUGGGAACAGGCCCAGGAUCCCUAGGGAGGGAGCAGUAGGGGAACUUCGGCAAUGGGGCGAAAGCUGGCCGAGCACAGCCGGGUGAGUGAAGAAGGUUUUCGGGGUGUUAAGGUCUGUUGUUAAGGGAGCGGUACUUAAACAGGAAGGGACGGCUAACUACGUGCCAGCAGCCGCGGUAAUAC
rnacentral:rRNA from 1 species